CGGGGGGGGCAAGCGUUGUUCGGAAUUACUGGGCGUAAAGGGCUCGUAGGCGGCCAACUAAGUCAGACGUGAAAUCCCCAGGCUCAACCUGGGAACUGCGUCUGAUACUGGUUGGCUUGAAUUCGGGAGAGGGAUGCAGAAUUCCAGGUGUAGCGGUGAAAUGCGUAGAUAUCUGGAGGAAUACCGGUGGCGAAGGCGGCAUCCUGGACCGACAUUGACGCUGAGGAGCGAAAGCUAGGGGAGCAAACGGGAUUAGAUACCCCGGUAGUCCUAGCCCUAAACGAUGAAUGCUUGGUGUGACGGGUAUCGAUCCCUGUCGUGCCGAAGCUAACGCAUUAAGCAUUCCGCCUGGGGAGUACGGUCGCAAGGCUG
rnacentral:rRNA from 1 species